rnacentral:rRNA from 1 species
GAUGAACGCUGGCGGCGUGCCUAAUACAUGCAAGUCGAGCGAACAGACGAGGAGCUUGCUCCUCUGACGUUAGCGGCGGACGGGUGAGUAACACGUGGAUAACCUACCUAUAAGACUGGGAUAACUUCGGGAAACCGGAGCUAAUACCGGAUAAUAUAUUGAACCGCAUGGUUCAAUAGUGAAAGACGGUUUUGCUGUCACUUAUAGAUGGAUCCGCGCCGCAUUAGCUAGUUGGUAAGGUAACGGCUUACCAAGGCAACGAUGCGUAGCCGACCUGAGAGGGUGAUCGGCCACACUGGAACUGAGACACGGUCCAGACUCCUACGGGAGGCAGCAGUAGGGAAUCUUCCGCAAUGGGCGAAAGCCUGACGGAGCAACGCCGCGUGAGUGAUGAGGGUCUUCGGAUCGUAAAACUCUGUUAUUAGGGAAGAACAAAUGUGUAAGUAACUAUGCACGUCUUGACGGUACCUAAUCAGAAAGCCACGGCUAACUACGCG